AUAUUUGACUAACCCUUUAUGGUUCAAUAUGGAGUCUGUUUAACUGUGUUGAUAUUUGACUAACCCUUUAUGGUUUAAUAUGGAGUCUGUUUAACUGUGUUGAUAUUUGACUAACCCUUUAUGGUUUAAUAUGGAGUCUGUUUAACUGCGUAUGACAGCGUCUAUGGCCUUGCCGUCCGGGGAUCCAGGAAGCCUUUAUCUGAGCUGCAUGUGAGGAAAAGGUUUUGUUGUGCUGACUUUAACUCAUGGCUGUAAAUAUUUCAGUCGUGUCCCCCCCCUACCCCUCCACCACGACGCGCUGCUUGGGAGAGCAUCCUCUGCUGUUCUUAAUAUUUAAUUCCUGCUCUUAACCGGCAAGAUGUGGUGCUUUAUAUAAGACCUCGGCAGACCCUAGUGAGACGUCUGCUACUCUUCAGUCGCUCCACUCAACUUGAUGUUCUCUCAGGGAGUUAGAGAACUGGUUGUCCAGUAAAGUCCAGCCCGAUCCCACCCCGGCCCGUGCGGGCAGUAGACCCCCUCUGUGUCCAAUCAGUAACAGUAAGGAGGAAGGUUUCACCUCACCAGACUCUCUGUCUCGGUGCCAGCGGAUCACCACAUGUUCCCAUUGCACGCUUCUUCAAUUUAGAAUUAACUUUGUGUCAUGGCAACAAAUGCUAAUUAUGUAAAUUAUGCAUAACCUUACAACCUUUUGUCAUAUCCUGGGUUCAAUCAUAAACUCGCAAUGCUUAAGGCUCUAUGUUAUGAUUAAAAGGCUUGACUACUGUAGUUGAGGAAGUAGACCUUAUAUGAAUAGUUACAUAAGACUAGGGUGCCUUUUGUACUAAACUGGGCUCCAUUUUCAUUGUUCUAAAUUCCCCUUAUUCGUCUCCCCUGCCAGUUUCAAUGAGGAUAAGGGUUCUUAUGUGGUGUGGUUUGCUAGGUGUUAAAUAUAGUUGACCCCUCCCGCGGUCUCCCUCCUCGGCAGCUGGCCCUGACCUGCGCGUCAUGGAGGUCUCUGACUAAGCCUUGGGCGACCUUUGUGGUCGAGGCCGGUUGCUCUGGUUCAGGCGCCCUCACAGCCUGCUGUCAUUAACCGGCAUUUCCGCUCAGAGCUGCUGGUGGAACCACGCGGGUCACGUGACGAGCGGAGCAACUUUCCUUCUUUAAAGCAGGGACAGGACGUGAGCACAGCCUGCUCCGUCCUCUGGGUCCUCACGGGGGUUGGUGAGGCUUUCUGAGCCCGGUGUGGAUAAUAAAGACGCUCUAGACGCUCUGUUAGGAUAUAAAGAGGGGAGGUGUGUGCUGCAUGACCCGGGCCCCUUUUGAAAUCACUUGUUCAACGGCUCUGUUCAUAGCCACCGAGGAUCCACACAGCAGCCAUGAAGCGAUCCGUCAAUGGUCCCUGCAUCGUUGAGGACUAUUAUAGUGUUUCUUUAUGAUCAAUAUCUUCACAAAUCAAAACACGAUGUGUUCGUGUUAGACUUUAAACAACCUCCCGCCGGCAAUCCAAUAAUGUUUGUGGUUCUUAAGUGUGCCUGUUAAACAUGCUUGACAAGCUUAGAGCGAACCUUCCUGAAGGCCAAUCAGCUGCAGGCCAAUAGCUCACACCCUGUACCUCUGGGUCGCCCACUCUCCCCCUGGGGGUGGAUCAACGCCCGUACCGCCUCCCCACCGCAAAGAAAUGUCGUUGCCCCUAACUAUAAGCAGACUGAUAUGAGGUGGGGUGGAGGUGUCUGGUGUCCGGGGGCUCUCAGAGCUGUGCAGCUCGGUCCAGACACAGGAAGAGGCUGUGGAGUCGGUCACCUCGUGGGGGACACCCCCCCUCCAGGCCCCCCCUCCAGGCACCCCCUCCCCCAGGCAGGCGGAGGUCGGGGGGCUUUAAGGGAGUCUUGAGGUAAAGCAGUAGAUGAGGGGGGCUGGGGGGAGCAGGCUUGGGGCUCUCUCCUUCCUCCCACUGGGUUUCUUGUGCUGGUUGCGUAACGUUCAGUGGGAGCAGAGAGGCGGAGCCAGCCCGCCGUCCCCGCUGCCAGGCGCCGGUUGCCAAGGAGACACAGCCUGUAAGGAGGGAGGCGUGUGCGUCUGUGCAGCCGUGUGCACUGAGUGAGUGUGUAGGGGGAAGACUUUUGUGUUUGUUUCUGACAACUUUAGCUUUGUGUGUGUGGAGAGAGAGAGAGAGAGAGAGAGAGAGAGAGAGAGAGAGAGAGAGAGAGAGAGAGAGAGAGAGAGAGAGAGAGAGAGAGAGAGAGAGAGAGAGAGAGAGAGAGAGAGAGAGAGAGAGAGAGAGAGAGAGAGAGAGAGAGAGAGAGAGAGAGAGAGAGAGUGGAGAGGAGGGGGGGGGGGGGGGGGGAGAGAUUCCACUGGAGGCUGUGAACACAGUGCGUUUUGUCUCAGUUGUGUGAACAUUGUGUGCGAGGGGUUUCACAGAGAACAAGAACAUUUGGUUCAUGGUUUCUCAUGAGUCCGGAUGGUGUUGUUGCUCAUUGUCGUUCUCACCACUGGUCUGUUGUCCUGUCAUAUCUUAAAGGACCUGAAUGUGUAAAAUCACACAAGGACAGUGUGGAGUAGCGUCAGGUAUAGAUCUUCUAGUUGCUUCAGUGCCACUUGCUGCUCUCCCUCAGCUAUAGACAGUGAGGUCCCGUGAUGUAACCGUGAUGUAAGCCGUGACGUGUGUGUUCUCAGGAGAGGCUGAAGGUGGGCGGGGCUCAGCUGACGGAGCUCAAAGCCACUCUGGAGUGUUGCUUCGCUGCGUCAAUCAAAGCCUCACCAACACUUCAUGGCCCUGAUUGGACCACAACCAGGAAGUCUAAGCCACAUGGAACAGGAAGUCUAAGCCACAUCGACCAGUCGGCAGCCUUGAAACAAAAACAUCCAUUUACUUGAAAUAUUUUACAUGAUUAUUUUUUUGCCUAAAAAUAUUGUUAUUUUAAAAGAUUUCUUAAGCCAUCAGGUUUUGUUCUAUGGUCGUUUCUGUGACUGACUUUGGGUUUGUUGGUCCCCAUUAUGGACAGGUUAUCCAUGAUGGGUGGACAAAGUGCUCACUUUCAAAGAAACAAACUAAUUUUUUUGCCAGAAAAGUUAAUGAGGCCAUGUUCAUUACGAUGACAAUGAGGGAUUCUCCUUGGACGGCUAUCGGCUGUAGUUCAGCGCUGACUCAGACAGUCGGAGGAUAGGACCCGGCAGACUGGCCCGUCACCCGCUCCAACGGGACACCGCCGCCAGCCAAUGGGAGGAGGGUUUCCACCCGUGGAGCAUGUCGUUCCCGGUGAUCACGAGGCAAUUAGACCCCGGCAGGCACAUCUAGAGCCGGUCCGUCUGUACGGCCGCUGACGUCAGACGGACAGCAGCUCAUUCAAUAUUCAAGGGCCUAUUCUGUAGCUGCUCGUUAGAAUCACUGCGACAGGGCAGAGGUGAGUUACAGGGUGAUUAUGGCCCAAUACAAAAGGGUUAGCUGUUGUUUUGCCAAAUAUUCCUAAUUAAAGUUUUAUUCAAUUUUUAUAUACCAAGAUUUUUAAUUAAACAUACAAUUCAUUCAUUCUAAGUGCACCAGAUUAUUGUAAUUAAUGUUUUAUUCUGUUGGUUCCUCACCACCUUUUCCCCAAACCCGUCAAAAUCAGUGCAAUGUUCCCCUCUUAAGUAGAAUGUGACUCACAUAGAACUCACCACCUUAGCAUUAAAUACUAAAGAGUUAGGGCAUUAUGGGCAGUUGCAGACUCUAUCCUGGUUUAGCCUGUGUCUUCGUGGCUCUGCUGAGAUUCACAGGUCGGAUAAGCAAGCACAUGGGAGGCUAAUUUGUGAAUGGCCUAAAGUCAACUAAUAGGUCUUUAACCCCGACUGACCAGCCCAGAUAAGCAGCGUGAAGUCGGGCACAUGCUGCCACCUGACCGGCCCGAGUUGAUCAGGACUUCCGCCUCUCCGAUCCUGCUGCUGUCGCUACUGCUCCACGUCUGAACGUAAGCUGUUCCGGAUAAAGGCAGGAGGAAUCUAAAGGUAGUGCCGUGGUUCCCUGGGAGCAGGCAGUGGUAACAAGGAGGCAGUGAUUAGUCAUCAGAGAACCAAAGGCGACUUAAGCCUCUCCAACAUAUCCCUCUUGGAGUAUGGAUUAAGAUAUAAGCGCUUACCGUUUCACACUGUCUGAAAGGGCUUCCCCGGCCACAGUAUGAAACCACAAAGCCAGAGCCUUCUAAAAGGUCAAUACAAAGUAAAUGAACCAAAGGAACCAGAGAAGGAACACAGAUUGCACAUCGUAUGCAGUGAGGAAAGGGGCUUGAAACAUGAUUCUGGUUGACAUGGUUUAUUAGUUUAGAAAUGUUACAAAUGUGGUACGUAUUCUCAAUCUAUGUUUGCUGCCAAAAGGUAAUCUAUGCCAAUGCCUGACUUUUAAAAACACUCAAAAGAAAAAAAGAUCUUCAGUAAACUGCAAUAAGUGAAUAAGUCAGAUCAUAGUAAAACAUUCUAUAAGCAGGAGCACAUAAGCAUGGUUGUGUGUGGCAUUAAAACAAAGUUACUAGAACUGGCACUGAUGUAUUUUAAUGACCAAGUCAUGUGCAUCCACUUAUUGUUUAAUCCGCAGUGUAUAAAAAAAAUAUAUAAAAAUGCCUUCGUUUAAGAUUUGUAAAGCAAUCCAGCUCCAAGUUUAAAUGACACAAAGCCAUGACAGGUACUUCUUCACUUAUACAUUUGAGUAAGGCUUAAACCACAGAUCUUUUAAACUAAGUGAGCUAAAAAAAAAUGACGAGGUUGACUAAAGAAAAUCGAGUUGAGAAACUCAAAGUUACUGUUACCAGUUAUGACUUAAAGAUACAAG